rnacentral:lncRNA from 1 species
UUUUUUUGUUGAUGGCUACUAUAUACAUUUACCAUCAAAAGCACAAUGGCAAGUCGUAACUAAGGAGUAUGCCGCCAUCUUGACUUCCUAAAAACAUAAAUGUCAGAUAAAUACAACGGAAUCUUAAAUGAAAUAGCACCUACCUCAAAAACUUUAUUUUAAUUAAAUGUUAUCCGAAUUUGAAGCGUACACGUAACGAAAUAAUCUUUCCC